AAAAAAGGUAAGCUACUAAGAGCGAAUGGUGGAUGCCUUGACUGGUAAAGGCGAUGAAGGACGUACUAGACUGCGAUAAGCUACGGGGAGCUGUCAAGAAGCUUUGAUCCGUAGAUUUCCGAAUGGGGCAACCCAAUGUAUAGAGAUAUACAUUACCUAUAUAGGAGCGAACGAGGGGAAUUGAAACAUCUUAGUACCCUCAGGAAAAGAAAUCAAUAGAGAUUGCGUCAGUAGCGGCGAGCGAAAGCGCAAGAGGGCAAACCCAGUGCUUGCACUGGGGGUUGUAGGACUGCAAUGUGCAAGAGGUGAGUUUAGCAGAACAUUCUGGAAAGUAUAGCCAUAGAGGGUGAUAGUCCCGUAUGCGAAAAACAAACCUUAGCUAGCAGUAUCCUGAGUAGGGCGGGACACGAGAAAUCCUGUCUGAAGCUGGGUCGACCACGAUCCAACCCUAAAUACUAAUACCAGAUCGAUAGUGCACAAGUACCGUGAGGGAAAGGUGAAAAGAACUGAGGUGAUCAGAGUGAAAUAGAACCUGAAACCAUUUGCUUACAAUCAUUCAGAGCCCUAUGUAGCAAUACAGGGUGAUGGACUGCCUUUUGCAUAAUGAGCCUGCGAGUUGUGGUGUCUGGCAAGGUUAAGCAAACGCGAAGCCGUAGCGAAAGCGAGUCUGAAUAGGGCGCUUAGUCAGAUGCUGCAGACCCGAAACGAAGUGAUCUAUCCAUGAGCAAGUUGAAGCUAGUGUAAGAACUAGUGGAGGACUGAACCCAUAGGCGUUGAAAAGCCCCGGGAUGACUUGUGGAUAGGGGUGAAAGGCCAAUCAAACUUCGUGAUAGCUGGUUCUCUCCGAAAUAUAUUUAGGUAUAGCGUUGUGUCGUAAUAUAAGGGGGUAGAGCACUGAAUGGGCUAGGGCAUACACCAAUGUACCAAACCCUAUCAAACUCCGAAUACCUUAUAUGUAAUCACAGCAGUCAGGCGGCGAGUGAUAAAAUCCGUCGUCAAGAGGGAAACAACCCAGACUACCAGCUAAGGUCCCUAAAUCUUACUUAAGUGGAAAACGAUGUGAAGUUACUUAAACAACCAGGAGGUUGGCUUAGAAGCAGCCAUCCUUUAAAGAAAGCGUAAUAGCUCACUGGUCUAGUGAUUUUGCGCGGAAAAUAUAACGGGGCUAAAGUAAGUACCGAAGCUGUAGACUUGCGCACAACUUAGAUUAUUUAAGUUUAGAAUAUGAGAAACUAAGUUAUAUGUUUAGUUAUAUUUUUACUGAUUUUUAUAGAGUAAAGAUAGAAAUAAAACUUAGUAAAAUCAGUAAAAAUAUUCUUAGACUAAAGUUAAGUAGUUUAAGUUGUGUGCAAGUGGUAGGAGAGCGUUCUAUUUGCGUCGAAGGUAUACCGGUAAGGAGUGCUGGAGCGAAUAGAAGUGAGCAUGCAGGCAUGAGUAGCGAUAAUUAAUGUGAGAAUCAUUAACGCCGUAAACCCAAGGUUUCCUACGCGAUGCUCGUCAUCGUAGGGUUAGUCGGGUCCUAAGUCGAGUCCGAAAGGGGUAGACGAUGGCAAAUUGGUUAAUAUUCCAAUACCAACAUUAGUGUGCGAUGGAAGGACGCUUAGGGCUAAGGGGGCUAGCGGAUGGAAGUGCUAGUCUAAGGUCGUAGGAGGUUAUACAGGCAAAUCCGUAUAACAAUACUCCGAGAACUGAAAGGCUUUUUGAAGUCUUCGGAUGGAUAGAAGAACCCCUGAUGCCGUCGAGCCAAGAAAAGUUUCUAAGUUUAGCUAAUGUUGCCCGUACCGUAAACCGACACAGGUGGGUGGGAUGAGUAUUCUAAGGCGCGUGGAAGAACUCUCUUUAAGGAACUCUGCAAAAUAGCACCGUAUCUUCGGUAUAAGGUGUGGUUAGCUUUGU
rnacentral:rRNA from 1 species